GAAUUAUUGCAAUACAAAGAUUAUGACAUUGAACAUCAGCAGAAGUUGGAUGAACACACCAAGUCAAUGAGCUUGUCCCAGUACAAUGACUUUACUCAGUCAAGGAGAGCAUCAUUUGUUAACAAGAAAAAGUUCAAAGAUUGGUUGUGUCUCCAGUCAUUGGUUGCUGAUGUUAAAGUUCAUGAGAUUGUCAUUGAGUUAUUAGCUUACAUAGCCUACAGAGCAGUGCAAAGUGUAAGUAUCUUUUCUAUUUAAAGCACUGU